ensembl:lncRNA
ACUCCUCUGCGCAGGCGGCGUUCCGUCCUCCAUCUGAAACACUCGCGGUCCCUGGAGCUGUUCCUGACCUGUGCCCUCGGGCCCACAUAGGGAGGAAACAUUCAUUUCUCUAGCUCAGAUGUCCCGUGCAAGCUACAGGGACCAGGGCUCUGCACACGACUGAUGAGGCUGCCGGAAACUUCCGUCUGAUUUCGAGUCUCCUACAGCAAGAGUACCCUAAAAUUUCCUGAUGGCAAGAACACUGGAGUGGGUUGCCAUUUCCUUCUCCAGUGCAUGAAAGUGAAAAGUGAAAGUGAAGUCGCUCAGUCGUGUCCGACCCUCAGCGACCCCAUGGACUUCAGCCUUCCAAGGCUCCUCCAUCCAUGGGAUUUUCCAGGCUUCAACAGAAUGUGAUCUUCCAGAUGUUUAAGCUGGUUUUAAAAAAGGCAGAGGACCCAGAGAUCAAAUUGCCAACAUCUACUGGAU